GCUGGGCGUGGUGGCGUGCGCCUGUAACCGAGCUACUAUGGAGCAGGUAGUGUCAAAUGACUUGAGGUCGGGACUCCUGUCGUACGUCGACCUAUGUCGAUCGGGUUCCACACUAAGUUGGGCAUCAAUAUGGUGAACUUAGGGGAACCUUCGUCCACCAGGUUGAAUAAAGAAGAACUUACCGGCCCAGGAUGGAAACAUAAGACGCGACUUAAAUAGGAAGCGAGUUUGUCGUACUGAAAGGUACAAAAUUCUUAUGUAAGACGCGUCUUAUGUAAGUCGCGACUUAUUUUGUUCUGU